UGCCCCCCGGCCCGGGAUAGCCCCAGGGAAACCUGGAUUAAUACCGGAUGAGACGGGACCCGCGAAGGCGGACCCGGGAAAGGCGCUGCGGCGCCGCCGGGGGAUGAGUCUGCGUCCCAUUAGCUAGACGCGGGUAACGGCCCACCGUGGCGACGAUGGGUAGCCGGCCUGAGAGGGUGACGGCCACAUCGGAACUGAGACACGGUCCAGACUCCUACGGGAGGCAGCAGCUAAGAAUCUUCCGCAAUGGGCGAAAGCCUGACGGAGCCGACGCCGCGUGAACGAAGAAGGCCGUGAGGUUGUAAAGUUCUUUUCGGGAGGGGAACAACCGUGGCAGGGAAUGGCCGCGGGAUGACGUGAAUCCCGGAAUAAGCCCCGGCUAACUACGUGCCAGCAGCCGC
rnacentral:rRNA from 1 species